AUUGAACGCUGGCGGCAGGCUUAACACAUGCAAGUCGAGCGGAGUGAUGGUGCUUGCACUAUCACUUAGCGGCGGACGGGUGAGUAAUGCUUAGGAAUCUGCCUAUUAGUGGGGGACAACAUCUCGAAAGGGAUGCUAAUACCGCAUACGUCCUACGGGAGAAAGCAGGGGAUCACUUGUGACCUUGCGCUAAUAGAUGAGCCUAAGUCGGAUUAGCUAGUUGGUGGGGUAAAGGCCUACCAAGGCGACGAUCUGUAGCGGGUCUGAGAGGAUGAUCCGCCACACUGGGACUGAGACACGGCCCAGACCCCUACGGGAGGCAGCAGUGGGGAAUAUUGGACAAUGGGGGGAACCCUGAUCCAGCCAUGCCGCGUGUGUGAAGAAGGCCUUAUGGUUGUAAAGUACUUUAAGCGAGGAGGAGGCUCUUUUGGUUAAUACCCAAGAUGAGUGGACGUUACUCGCAGAAUAAGCACCGGCUAACUCUGUGCCAGCCGCCGCCGUAA
rnacentral:rRNA from 1 species